rnacentral:rRNA from 1 species
AGUCGAGAAUCUUCCGCAAUGGGCGAAAGCCUGACGGAGCGACGCCGCGUGCGGGACGAAGGCCUUCGGGUUGUAAACCGCUGUCGUAGGGGAGCAAAUUUUGAGCGAUCCUAGGAGGAAGCACCGGCUAAACUCGUGCCAGCAGCCGCGGUAAUACGAGUGGUGCAAACGUUAUUCGGAAUCACUGGGCUUAAAGGGUGCGUAGGCUGCUGCAAAGGUCUGAUGUGAAAUACCACGGCUCAACCGUGGAACGGCAUUGGAAACCAUGCAGCUUGAGUAAGAUAGAGGUAAGCGGAACAGAUGGUGGAGCGGUGAAAUGCGUUGAUAUCAUCUGGAACACCGGUGGCGAAAGCGGCUUACUGGGUCUUUACUGACGCUGAUGCACGAAAGCUAGGGGAGCAAA